ACUUUUAUUUCUGCAUUUAGUAAUUUACAUAAAUAAAUGGUUCAGUUAGAUGAUUAUUAUUGAUGUUUGAAUAUUUGUGAACUGUUUGAGUUGGUUUUCCUAUUAUGCAUGCAAUUGGAGCUUUUGGAUCUUCGGUUUUGGAAUUAUGAAUUUAUACUUUGUGGUUUUCUACCCCUCGAGGUAGUCGGUUUUCAAAAUAGAGUUUCCAAGUGGGAAACAGUUUUCAAAAAAAUUUUGAAUGGUUUUAUGGAUGAUUAUAUAG
rnacentral:lncRNA from 1 species